rnacentral:lncRNA from 1 species
UAGAACAUACCUCACAGCGCGAUCUUCCCACCCUUCUGUCUGGAGCGUAACACCACUCUGUGUCAGCUCGUCAACUUGCCUCUGCCACUCUAGUAUUUUCCUGAUGUAACCCCUAGAACCAAUGUCGUGGGGAUUGACUUUUUUCUUAGCAUUCUCUGACCUCUUGUAUUCAACAAAUUCUGGCCAAUAAUCUUUUUGCUUAGAGUGAACUGUCC